GCGGGAGUAGCUCAGUGGGUAGAGCUUCAGCCUUCCAAGCUGAAUGUCGCGAGUUCGAGCCUCGUCUCCCGCUCCA
rnacentral:tRNA from 1 species